CCUACGGGGGGCUGCAGUGGGGAAUAUUGGACAAUGGGGGGAACCCUGAUCCAGCCAUGCCGCGUGUGUGAAGAAGGCCCUCGGGUUGUAAAGCACUUUCAGUGAGGAAGAACGCCUGGUGGUUAAUACCCAUCAGGAAAGACAUCACUCACAGAAGAAGCACCGGCUAACUCCGUGCCAGCAGCCGCGGUAAUACGGAGGGUGCGAGCGUUAAUCGGAAUUACUGGGCGUAAAGCGCGCGUAGGUGGCUUGAUAAGCCGGUUGUGAAAGCCCCGGGCUCAACCUGGGAACGGCAUCCGGAACUGUCAAGCUAGAGUGCAGGAGAGGAAGGUAGAAUUCCCGGUGUAGCGGUGAAAUGCGUAGAGAUCGGGAGGAAUACUAGUGGCGAAGGCGGCCUUCUGGACUGACACUGACACUGAGGUGCGAAAGCGUGGGUAGCAAACAGGAUUAGAUACCCCAGUAGUC
rnacentral:rRNA from 1 species